CCGGGAAGGACAUGUCCUUCACACACACGCGUCUCUAGCAGGAAGGAACCGGUGCACGGUGGCUAUAGAGAGCACUAACGGGAUUUAAGAAGUCACCUCGCGGGCACGCUAGGAAAGAUUGGAAGAAAAGACCAUGGGCCAGUGAGAGGGCGCCUGUGCCACGCCUGAGUGUGCUACCUGGAAGCCACACACUGGGAAGACAGAACAGACUCCUGCAAGUUGUCCUCUAGCCACACAAAUACCACACCACCCACCCCCUCCCGCCACAAGUACACGCACUUAAAAGAACCUCUUUAUCAAGCAAAGCAGGGCUGCUUCAUAAAUUGCUGUCAACAAAACCACUGUAUCUGUAAAUUUAAUAUGCAAUAAAUUCUGACAUUAUGAAAUGAU